rfam:Picea glauca, whole genome shotgun sequence.
AUACCUUUCUCGGCCUUUUGGCUAAGAUCAAGUGUAGUAUCUGUUCUUAUCAGUUUAAUAUCUGAUACGCGGUUCAUAGAACCACAUGAUAUUAAAUGUAUUUUUCUAGGGGGAGAGCCCAUUUACAGUAGCUUGCUACUGGGGUUCUUGAGCGUCGCUUGUGCGUUGCACUAAAGCGCAAGCCUGGCACACCCCAA